rnacentral:rRNA from 1 species
AUAUUAUUAAUUUAUUAUUAUUAAUAUAAUAUUAACAUAAUUCAUAUUACUUUUUUUGAGUAUWUGAAAUUUUACUUUGAGAAAAUUAGAGUGCUUAAAGCAGGCAUUUGCCUUGAAUACUCCMGCAUGGAAUAAUAUUAAAGAUUUUUAUCUUCCUUAUUGGUUUUAARAWAGAAAUAAUGAUUMAWAGGGACAGUUGGGGGCAUUUGUAUUUAACAGUCAGAGGUGAAAUCCUGAGAUUUGUUAAAGACAAACUAAUGCGAAAGCAUUUGCCAAGGAUGUUUUCAUUAGUCAAGAACGAAAGUUAGGGGAUCGAAGACGGUCAGACACCGUCGUAGUCUUAACCAUAAACUAUGCCAACUACAGAUUGCAGG